rnacentral:misc_RNA from 1 species
GAUGAAGAACGUAGCGAAAUGCGAUACGUAAUGUGAAUUGCAGAAUUCAGUGAAUCAUCGAAUCUUUGAACGCACAUUGCACUCUAUGGUAUUCCGGAGAGUAUGCUUGUUUGAGUAUCUGUAAACAUCUCAAAUCUCUCUUCAAUUGCUUCAAUUGGGUCGAGAGAAUUGGAUUUGAGCGAUCCCGACUCCUUCGUCAGAAAGAGGAGGGUCGCUUGAAAUGCAGGUGCAGCUGGACAUUCUUCUGAGCAAAAAGCAUAUCUAUUUAGUCCCGUCAAACGGAUUAUUACUUUUGCUUCAGCUAAUAUAAAGGUUGAAUGAACUACCAACGCUGAUUGCAGGAAAACAUGUUCGUUUAUUCGGACUUGUAAACUCGAUCUCAAAUCAAGUAAGACUACCCGCUGAACUUAAGCAUAUCAAUAAGCGGAGGA